rnacentral:snoRNA from 2 species
GUGAUGAGAUGUAAACGUUGAUAUGGUGAUGCAGGUCCAAAGCGCUGA